rnacentral:sRNA from 1 species
CGUCAAAAUCCGUGCCUGAAAAUUGCGCGUUCGCUUGCGAUCGCGUAUACUCUGGCUGUUGACGUAACACAGUGUGUUCUGCGGCUACCACCCGCAAACCCUGUCGAUAAAAACCUCGCUCUGGCGGGGUUUUUU